rnacentral:rRNA from 1 species
CCUACGGGAGGCUGCAGUGAGGAAUAUUGGUCAAUGGCCGGAAGGCUGAACCAGCCAAGUAGCGUGAGGGAAGACUGCCCUAUGGGUUGUAAACCUCUUUUAUGCGGGGAUAAAGGUGUCCACGUGUGGAUGUUUGCAGGUACCGCAUGAAUAAGGACCGGCUAAUUCCGUGCCAGCAGCCGCGGUAAUACGGAAGGUCCGGGCGUUAACCGGAUUUAUUGGGGUUAAAGGGUGCGCAGGCGGGAGGUAAAGGCAGCGGUAAAAUGUCGGGGCUCAACCCCGGCCGGCCGUUGAAACUGGUUUUCUAGAGUUGGCGAGAAGUAUGCGGAAUUCGUGGUGUAGCGGUGAAAUGCAUAGAUAUCACGAAGAACUCCGAUUGCGAAGGCAGCAUACCGGCUCCAUACUGACGCUGAGGCACGAAAGCGUGGGGAUCGAACAGGAUUAGAUACCCGUGUAGUC